rnacentral:rRNA from 1 species
CCCUACGGGGGGCAGCAGUGGGGGAUAUUGCACAAUGGGGGGAACCCUGAUGCAGCGACGCCGCGUGGGUGAAGAAGCGCCUUGGCGCGUAAAGCCCUGUCAGCAGGGAAGAAAAUGACGGUACCUGAAGAAGAAGCCCCGGCUAACUACGUGCCAGCAGCCGCGGUAAUACGUAGGGGGCAAGCGUUAUCCGGAUUUACUGGGUGUAAAGGGGGCGCAGACGGCGAUGCAAGCCAGGAGUGAAAGCCCGGGGCCCAACCCCGGGACUGCUCUUGGAACUGCGUGGCUGGAGUGCAGGAGGGGCA